rnacentral:rRNA from 1 species
GACGAACGCUGGCGGCGUGCCUAAUACAUGCAAGUUGAGCGAUGAAGAUUGGUGCUUGCACCAAUUUGAAGAGCAGCGCACGGGUGAGUAACGCGUGGGGAAUCUGCCUUUGAGCGGGGGACAACAUUUGGAAACGAAUGCUAAUACCGCAUAACAACUUUAAACAUAAGUUUUAAGUUUGAAAGAUGCAAUUGCAUCACUCAAAGAUGAUCCCGCGUUGUAUUAGCUAGUUGGUGAGGUAAAGGCUCACCAAGGCGAUGAUACAUAGCCGACCUGAGAGGGUGAUCGGCCACAUUGGGACUGAGACACGGCCCAAACUCCUACGGGAGGCAGCAGUAGGGAAUCUUCGGCAAUGGACGAAAGUCUGACCGAGCAACGCCGCGUGAGUGAAGAAGGUGUUCGGAUCGUAAAACUCUGUUGGUAGAGAAGAACGUUGGUGAGAGUGGAAAGCUCAUCAAGUGACGGUAACUACCCAGAAAGGGACGGCUAACUACGU